GCCCCAGAGGUGGACCCUCGGUAACUGAAAACGACGCCGAGAGACCGAUUUCGAUGACGCGCUCACUGACCCCUACGUCCCCUCCAGUGCAGACAAUCGCCCAGCCUCCGGUCCGGUCGCUAACUGAGGGCAGCCCUACCGCCCGGCGCUUUAUAUAAGCUCCCCGCCCGCCAAUCGCGAAGGGCCGCCACGCCCUCACGAGCUGCGCGCGGCCAAUCGGAACCCGGGGAGGGGCGCCAGAGCCAUUCGAACGUUAGUCCCGCGGAGCAGGCUCUUAAAGGAGACGCGGUGUGCAGACGGCGAGCGACAGGCGGGUGGGGGGCCUGGGCUCAGAAAGUAGGUGAUGGGGAGGGGGCUUAGCCCCUGUAUUGUUUGUAGGAAAAGGUUCUGGCUUGGGCGCUGGCUUGCCAGAACCAAAGCCAAACAAACCAUUCGAACUUGCAUCGUGCAGGUGGACUUUCCUCUGUGAUCAAGUCCGGAUCCCUUGCCUCAUCACCCCACGCCCCGCCUGCAUUUCCAAGGCGGCUCACACCUGAAAGGCUCUGGUCACCUCCGGCAGAAGUGGAGAUGACAGCAAAACGUGGCAAGGGACACCCCUGGAUAACAACAUAGUAUUACUGCACGAAGACAGAAAGAAUGAAUCACUUCCAUAAUCGGACCAUGCAUAUUUCCAAGAUUCCAAGCUACCAGGCAGAGAUGCCAGAAGAAUGGGACACUUUGGCUUUCUCUCGGGCCAGGAAAUAUGUGAAGUGAUCCGGCUAUUCACAGGGCACUGUAGAAACUCGCUGGCUGCUCUCAGGGGUGGUCCAAGGCUGACUGUAGGGUCACAGUCGUGGCACCCACGGUUCAAAGCUCUUGCGUAAUACAUUCUCAUGAUGGAAGAAAAAGGCCACUUCAUGAUGCAGUGAGGUGCUCUUCACUCGUGGUAUUCAAGUGGAGCCUGGAUGCUCAAGUCAAAGGCACUGGAGAAGACAUUGCUGGCCUUCGUAUCGAAGGAUAUCUCCAGCUCUGAGAUUCUCUAAUUUACUUGUAAACAUCGUUGACAGAUGGGAUGUAGACAAGCAAAAGGUAGAGCCAAAUGUGAUAAAGGAGUCCAUCAAAAGAGCGUGAAAGCUGACAGUUUUUUGGGAGCCAAAGAACGAAGAAACCUUUGUGGCUCCUGUCUUUCUGCCAUAAAUGCUCAGUCCUGUAAUAUCCAUGUCUGUGGUGGGUGUGGUCAAGAGCUUUGAGCACUGGACUUGAGUCCAUAGGGGGCAGAGGUGACCGUGGUUCCCAGAGGAGAGACAACUGGAAAAGAGCUGUCCCUAAUUAUUGAUCUGGUGCAGGAAGGUAGAUGACUUCAUUUUUCUCUGAAAGAAAGACUUUUUAGUCAGAUACGUGCAUUUUUCCUUAUAGCUCAAAAAAGAUUAUGCAAUGUUCAGCAAAAUCUGAGAAGCUGCCAUUGACAUUUUUAGCCUGCUUUGUCAAGAUUCUCUCAGUACUUGACAAAUUUUAACUCAAAUUCACACACUCCACAAGAUAAAAAGCAGGAACUCAGUGUCUCAUUCUUGAGACAGGUGUGUCAUUGUAAAACUUUUUUAAAAUUUUCUUUUUUGUGUUGUUUUUUUGUUGGUUUGUUUUCUUUUUGCUUCAGCCAUUCUUAUUUCUUAGAUUGAGAUUAGUGCUGUACUUUGUAAAGAGAACAGAAUGAUCCACUAACUCUGAGCUGAUUUUCUAAUAAAAGGGGUUAUUUUUUACUUUGA